GUAUAAGUAAUGUGCUGAUUUGACCAAAAAAAAUAAAAAAAAAUAAACCUUUUUGGCAUAUGUAUAUAAAUAUUUGUAUAAUACUUGGGGUCACUUUUGUAAAUAAGAUACCCCAUUUGGGUUGCACAAGUUUGAGUAUCAUCUCCAAGUUCCCAGUAAAAUCUGCCGCCCUACCAUCCUUGUAACCGAGACCAAUAAUCAGUUUAGGGGGAAGUUUUCUGCCCCACAACCUUUUUACCAGUCGUGUUAUAUCAGCAUUAUAUCUUCAGUUAAGAACAUUUCAUCACAUGCUUGUGAUCUUACACCAAGGUCAUUUAACACAGAGAAGCUUGCUGGUUUGGGUCAAAAACUAAAAAAAUGAUUGGAAAUAAUGUAUUUUCAAUUAUUGUUGUGUACUAAACAUAGGAAGGAAAAUACAUUUUUGGAAAAUCUCAAGAAGUGGAGCACAUGAAUACAGAGAUCACAUCACAGGACACCAAUGCUGAGGCAGAGGAGUGGCCUGCCCUGACCUGCACCUGAUGAAUCCCCCAUGGAGCAUUCCGUGCAGACCAAUGGGCCAGCCAGACAGUCACCCUACACCUGCUCCUUUCUUCAAAGCAGAGGUGCAGACGCAGGGUGGCAGGUGUGGGAGUAUCUGCCCCUCUCCUUGUCAAAACAGCUUGUACUAGAGGAGAGCACACUUCCCUUCUGGUGGCUUCCGUGAUGACAGCACCUGUUUGCCGAACCUUGACUUGUUAUAUCUAAUAAAGAUAUAAUGACAACACAAAUAAUGACAAUUCAAACAUAAAAACUGUGACCUUUGGCUUCACACUUGGGAUACUGUACUCCUUACAAAAGCCUCCACACCUGCAAGCAAAGGGCAGAGGGAAAGAAUCACAGCCAAGAAAGGCAGGAGGGAUAAGGAGGUGGCGAACAACAACCAAAUGCGACAAGACACUACUCAAGAAAAUCAGGCGAGUUUACACAGCUGUUGAUGUUUAUGAGAAUUAGGACCCCUUUACCAUUCUAAUCAAUUGCAUGCUGGAGGCACAGAGUUGUCUUCGCCAAAAACAUCACUGCACCAUAUAAUUGAAAGGCAGUGUAUCUUAGUAGUGUGUCGCGAGUUCCUUUUCUAAACCGAGUAAGGAACUUAGCGAUAGCCCACAAACUGCAAUUAAUUCCACAUAAUUUAUCAGCGACAGAUGUGUUAAGUUGAGAUGUGAAACUCUUUGGAGGUGCAGACAUUU